ACAAAACAAGACUACAAAUCAGUGGCCUUCCAAAAAUGGACACGACUAGAAAUCAGUGGUUAAGUUGUAUUUACAACACUGUUCCAGAACAGUUCAAUCCAAAUAUUCAGAUGUGUCUAGCGCAUUUUAUGGAGGACUGUUUCCUGAUCCUGGUAGAGUAGACUACAAUGUUCUGACUCACAGACUGCAAGUACGUUUUUUAUGUACAAAGAAUUUUCCACUGACCAUUCAAACGCAAGUUUUGGGCAGUGUAGAGUAGCGCUUGUUGUUUGUCAUUUCUCCGAUCACAAAUGCAGGUUUAAUGCUUACGCAGCGCGAUGCAACGCGUAAAAAGACAGUAUAAGUCAUUUAUAAUCCGUAAUUAUGUCCCCACUGCAUGCAACAAAUGCCUCGUUUAUAAUGGGUUUUCAUGUUUUUGUCUCGUCGCUCCGGCUGGACACGGCAUCACAGUAUGGUAGGGGCGUAACAUUUCCGUCACACACUUGAGGUAUUCAGCCAAUCACAACACACUGGAUAGCUGACCAAUCAGAGCACACCUCGUUUUUCAGACCGAUGAGCUUUGUAAAAAUCCACACGUUUCAGAAAGGCAGGGCAUAGAGGAGAAACAAUAAUGUGGAAAAUAUUGUGUUUUUUGAACUUUAAACCGCAUAAACACAUUUCAUUACACUAAAUACGCAAAAUAAUGUUCAUUUUAGCAACAUCAUAUGACCCCUUUAAUAUAUUGGUUUGAUUGUCUUCUCAUCUGCUUGUGUAGUUUAUGCUGUCAUACAGUAGCUCCUCCGGAGAGAACAGGACACGCAUACACACCGUUAUUCUGUCCGCUUCCAGUCAACCGCUAGACACCUUUAGAAGCAGCCAGGCCGAGACGCUCCUCGCAUUCUACUGCAAGAAAUUGUAUUCAUUAGCACUGGAGAGUCCGCUGCAGUCCCUGCGUGAGGAGCUACAGACGGAGGUUACUGAGAUGUUGGCUUGCUUCCGGAAACAAAGCUGCACUACUUCUGUGUCCCCAGGACAGGUGCGUUCUUCAUAUAGUUCUCUCUUUUUAAUGAGGAUCUCUCGUAAGGUACUGGACCAGCACUGGACCCUUUUGAAUAUUCGGAUACUCUAGAGAUUUAUCAUACAGUUUCAGAUGAAGCAAUAAUUUAGAAAUAUUAAACCAUGAUUUGGUGAUACCAAUUAAAAAGUAAGGUCCCGCCGUUUUCAGUCCAAUUAAUUUUUAAUUGCUCAAAUAAAUAGACAUUGCCUUUUUUGUGCAAUGAGCCCUAGACAGUUAUUAGCAAGUUGUGUAAUUAGAGCUUAAUCAGAUAUUUUAGGCCCGUGAAGUCUUCUAGUAUUUAGGGGGAAAAAGUAUUUUUAGGAGAUGACAGACAGUCUGUUAUUCCACUCUCAAUUUAUUUUACGAUUCGUUAGCCUAUUAAUGAUGC
rnacentral:lncRNA from 1 species